CCUGCAAUUCAGCAGUCAAGCUGAGACGUCUCUCUUCAUGCUGAUAGCCUGUGAGCUUGUGAGCCACGUGGUGUGUUUUCUCCAUUCAACCUUUUUCUUACCUUGUUAGCAAAGGCCGAGCAGCUCGCUUUAAGUUUACGAUAUGUGAGAGAAAGGUGAAGCACCAUCUACUGGUCGAAGGCAGUAGCGCGGUCUGAACACGUCAGGACACGCCCAGUCACACUGACAAGCAGCAGACCAGACUGCGUGAAGCUGCAUGGACUUUUCUGUUUCCCAUAUCAUGUGUGCGUUCUUGAGGAAAUGAGGAUUUACACAACAUUCUCAUGACGUGAACUGUGUGGGAACGUAGACGAGGCUGCAACAUCACCGUCGGAUAGACCUACAGGUGUUUACAACAAUGGUGAGAUUUUCUUCCUGACUUCAC